UACGGGGGGGGCAAGCGUUGUUCGGAAUUACUGGGCGUAAAGGGCCAGUAGGCGGCCAACUAAGUCGGAUGUGAAAUCCCCAGGCUCAACUUGGGAACUGCAUCCGAUACUGGAUGGCUUGAGUUCGGGAGAGGGAUGCAGAAUUCCAGGUGUAGCGGUGAAAUGCGUAGAUAUCAAGAGGAACACCUGCGGCGAAGGCGGGUUGCUGGGCCGACACUGACGCUGAAGCGCGAAAGCCAGGGGAGCGAACGGG
rnacentral:rRNA from 1 species